rnacentral:rRNA from 1 species
UACGGGGGGUGCAAGCGUUGUUCGGAAUUACUGGGCGUAAAGGGCUCGUAGGCGGCCAACUAAGUCGGACGUGAAAUCCCCAGGCUCAACCUGGGAACUGCGUCCGAUACUGGAUGGCUUGAAUCCGGGAGAGGGAUGCAGAAUUCCAGGUGUAGCGGUGAAAUGCGUAGAUAUCUGGAGGAAUACCGGUGGCGAAGGCGGCAUCCUGGACCGGCAUUGACGCUGAGGAGCGAAAGCCAGGGGAGCAAACGGG